rnacentral:rRNA from 1 species
CCUACGGGUGGCAGCAGUGGGGAAUAUUGGGCAAUGGGCGCAAGCCUGACCCAGCAACGCCGCGUGAAGGAAGAAGGCCCUCGGGUUGUAAACUUCUUUUAUCAAGGACGAAAAAAAUGACGGUACUUGAUGAAUAAGCCACGGCUAACUACGUGCCAGCAGCCGCGGUAAUACGUAGGUGGCACGCGUUAUCCGGAUUUAUUGGGUUUAAAGGGUUCGUAGGCGGGCUUUUAAGUCAGCGGUAAAUAUUCGGGGCCCAACCCCGUCCGGCCGUUGAAACUGGGGGCCUUGAGUGGGCGAGAAGAAGGCGGAAUGCGUGGUGUAGCGGUGAAAUGCAUAGAUAUCACGCAGAACCCCGAUUGCGAAGGCAGCCUUCCGGCGCCCUACUGACGCUGAGGCACGAAAGUGCGGGGAUCGAACAGGAUUAGAUACCCGGGUAGUC